rnacentral:rRNA from 1 species
GACGAACGCUGGCGGCGUGCUUAACACAUGCAAGUCGAACGGAAAGGCCCUGCUUUUGUGGGGUGCUCGAGUGGCGAACGGGUGAGUAACACGUGAGUAACCUGCCCUUGACUUUGGGAUAACUUCAGGAAACUGGGGCUAAUACCGGAUAGGAGCUCCUGCUGCAUGGUGGGGGUUGGAAAGUUUCGGCGGUUGGGGAUGGACUCGCGGCUUAUCAGCUUGUUGGUGGGGUAGUGGCUUACCAAGGCUUUGACGGGUAGCCGGACUGAGAGGGUGACCGGCCACAUUGGGACUGAGAUACGGCCCAGACACCUACGGGAGGCAGCAGUGGGGAAUAUUGCACAAUGGGCGGAAGCCGGAUGCAGCAACGCCGCGGGCGGGAUGACGGCCUUCGGGUUGUAAACCGCGUUCGCCUGUGACGAAGCGUGAGUGACGGUAAUGGGUAAAGAAGCACCGGCUAACUACGUGC